AAUCAACGCUGGCGGCGUGCCUAACACAUGCAAGUCGAACGAGAAAGUCCCCGCAAGGGGAUGAGUACAGUGGCGAACGGGUGAGUAACACGUGACUAACCUGCCUUCGAGUGGGGGAUAACCCCGGGAAACCGGGGCUAAUACCGCAUAACAUCGCUGGGUGGAACUCCUGGCGAUCAAAGGGGUAAGACGCUUGAAGAGGGGGUCGCGGCUGAUUAGCUAGUUGGCGGGGUAACGGCCCACCAAGGCGAUGAUCAGUAGCCGGCCUGAGAGGGCGCACGGCCACACUGGAACUGAAACACGGUCCAGACUCCUACGGGAGGCAGCAGGGGGGAAUGUUGCGCAAUGGGGGAAACCCUGACGCAGCAACGCCGCGUGGAGGAUGAAGUCCCUUGGGACGUAAACUCCUUUCGACCGGGACGAUAAUGACGGUACCGGUGGAAGAAGCCCCGGCUAACUCCGUGCCAGCCGCCGCAGUAA
rnacentral:rRNA from 1 species